rnacentral:rRNA from 1 species
AGUGGCGGACGGGUGAGUAACGCGUGAGAAUCUGCCCUCAGGAGGGGGAUAACGGUUGGAAACGACCGCUAAUACCCCAUAUGCCGAGAGGUGAAAUGAAAUUCGCCUGAGGAUGAGCUCGCGUCUGAUUAGCUAGUUGGUAGGGUAAAGGCCUACCAAGGCAUUGAUCAGUAGCUGGUCUGAGAGGAUGAUCAGCCACACUGGGACUGAGACACGGCCCAGACUCCUACGGGAGGCAGCAGUGGGGAAUUUUCCGCAAUGGGCGCAAGCCUGACGGAGCAACGCCGCGUGAGGGAUGAAGGCCUCUGGGCUGUAAACCUCUUUUAUCAAGGAAGAAGAACUGACGGUACUUGAUGAAUAAGCCACGGCUAAUUCCGUGCCAGCAGCCGCGGUAAUACGGGAGUGGCAAGCGUUAUCCGGAAUUAUUGGGCGUAAAGCGUCCGCAGGCGGUUUUACAAGUCUGUCGUUAAAGCGUGGAGCUCAACUCCAU